rnacentral:rRNA from 1 species
CCUACGGGAGGCAGCAGUGAGGAAUAUUGGUCAAUGGACGGGAGCCUGAACCAGCCAAGUCGCGUGCGGGACGACGGCUCUAUGGGUUGUAAACCGCUUUUGUCCGAGGAUAAACCCCGCUACGUGUAUCGGGUUGAGUGUACCCUACGAAUAAGCAUCGGCUAACUCCGUGCCAGCAGCCGCGGUAAUACGGAGGAUCCGAGCGUUAUCCGGAUUUAUUGGGGUUAAAGGGUGCGUAGGCGGUUCGGUAAGUUAGCGGUGAAAUGUCCGGGCUCAACCCCGUAACAGCCUCUAAUACUGGUGGUCUAGAGAAGAGUAGCGGUAGGCGGAAUGUAUGGUGUAGCGGUGAAAUGCUUAGAGAUCACGCAGAACACCGAUUGCGAAGGCAGCAUACCAAACUACAUCUGACGUUGAGGCACGAAAGCGUGGGUAGCGAACAGGAUUAGAUACCCGGGUAGUC